ensembl:miRNA
CUUUGUGGAACAGUGCAGUGUUUUCCUUGCCUGUGGCAAGACCACUUCAGUUCAAGGCUAAGAAACUAGACUCUUCCUACAGAGA